rnacentral:rRNA from 1 species
CGGCAGCACGGGGGCAACCCUGGUGGCGGGUGGCGAACGGGUGAGGAAUGCACCGGAACGUAUCUUCAAGUGGGGGAUAACGCAUCGAAAGGUGUGCUAAUACCGCAUAAUCUCUGAGGAGAAAAGCAGGGGAUCGCAAGACCUUGCGCUUUUGGAGCGGCCGAUGCCUGAUUAGCUUGUUGGUGAGGUAAAAGCUCACCAAGGCUUCGAUCAGUAGCUGGUCUGAGAGGACGACCAGCCACACUGGGACUGAGACACGGCCCAGACUCCUACGGGAGGCAGCAGUGGGGAAUUUUGGACAAUGGGGGCAACCCUGAUCCAGCCAUGCCGCGUGAGUGAAGAAGGCCUUCGGGUUGUAAAGCUCUUUCAGCCGGAACGAAACGGUCACGGUUAAUACCCGUGACUACUGACGGUACCGGAAGAAGAAGCACCGGCUAACUACGUGCCAGCAGCCGCGGUAAUACGUAGGGUGCGAGCGUUAAUCGGAAUUACUGGGCGUAAAGCGUGCGCAGGUGGUUUUGUAAGUCAGAUGUGAAAUCCCCGGGCUUAACCUGGGAACUGCGUUUGAAACUGCAAGGCUAGAGUGUGGCAGAGGGGGGUGGAAUUCCGCGUGUAGCAGUGAAAUGCGUAGAGAUGUGGAGGAACACCGAUGGCGAAGGCAGCCCCCUGGGUCAACACUGACGCUCAGGCACGAAAGCAUGGGGAGCAAACAGGAUUAGAUACCCUGGUAGUCCAUGCCCUAAACGAUGUCAACUAGUUGUCGGGUCUUAACGGGCUUGGUAACGUAGCUAACGCGUGAAGUUGACCGCCUGGGGAGUACGAUCGCAAGA